rnacentral:rRNA from 1 species
UACGAGGGGGGCAAAUGUUGUUCGGAAUCACUGGGCGUAAAGGGAGCGUAGGCGGGUUCUUAAGUUAGGUGUUUAAUCCCGGGGCCCAACCCCGGACCGGCACUUAAAACUGGGAAUCUUGGAUAGUGGAGAGGUCGGUGGAAUUGGAGGUGUAGCGGUGGAAUGCGUAGAGAUCUCCAAGAACACCAGUUGCGAAGGCGGCCGACUGGACACAUAUUGACGCUGAGGCUCGAAAGCAUGGGGAGCAAACAGG